UAGAUGGGGUACGGGAGAAUCAUCUCAGGUGAGGAGCAGGUGGGGUACAGGAGGACCAUCUCAGGUUAGGAGGAGGUGGGCUAAGGGAGGACCAUCUCAGGUGAGGAGAUUAGGUAGAGUGGGGCCAUUUCAGGUGAGGACGUGGAGUAUGGGAGGGCCAUCUCAGGUGAGGAGGAGGUGGGCUAAGGGAGGACCAUCUCAGGUGAGGAGAUUAGGUAGAGUGGGGCCAUCUCAGGUGAGGACGUGGAGUAUGGGAGGGCCAUCUCAGGUGAGGACGUGGCGUAUGGGAGGGCCAUCUCAGGUGAGGACGUGGCGUAUGGGAGGGCCAUCUCAGGUGAGGACGUGGAGUAUGGGAGGGCCAUCUCAGGUGAGGACGUGGAGUAUGGGAGGGCCAUCUCAGGUGAGGACGUGGAGUAUGGGAGGGCCAUCUCAGGUGAGGACGUGGCGUAUGGGAGGGCCAUCUCAGGUGAGGACGUGGCGUAUGGGAGGGCCAUCUCAGGUGAGGACGUGGCGUAUGGGAGGGCCAUCUCAGGUGAGGACGUGGAGUAUGGGAGGGCCAUCUCAGGUGAGGACGUGGAGUAUGGGAGGGCCAUCUCAGGUGAGGACGUGGAGUAUGGGAGGGCCAUCUCAGGUGAGGACGUGGAGUAUGGGAGGGCCAUCUCAGGUGAGGACGUGAGGUACGGGAGGGCCAUCUCAGGUGAGGAGGUGGUGGGGUACAGGAGCAAACUCUUAGGUGAGGAGGAAGUGGGGUAAGGGAGUGCACUCUUAGGUGAGGAAAUUAGGUAGAGGAGCGACAUCUCAUGUGAGGACGUGGAAAACACAGCAUUACCUUUAAAGAGCAGCCUCAGCUUAAUAGAAAAUGCAAUGUUACCUUUAAAGGAGCAACACAAAUAGCCACGUCAGUGGGAAAUUGGUUCAAACCGGCUAACGUAGCUGCAGCUAACAUGGAUGGAAAACAAGCCUAGUUCACUGUGACUAGCAGUGAGAAGCAGCACAGAGGGCACUCCAUCUUCCGGGAGCCAAACAAGGAAGGAGCUCCUGGAUGGAAACAGGCCCGGCCACUUUAUUUUUGCGAGCUGACACAUUGUUUGAGGCAUUAAAGCCAGCGUGCCUCGCUGCGCUCAUCACUCUUAGGUGCAGCACACUGUGACAUUCGGGUGCGCUGGGUAACAGGAGCCGCCGCUUGGCAUGACCUGCAUGUGACAGGUCUGUGUCUCUCCCCCUCCACCG